GCUUUGCCCACGAUGCUCAUACUGUAAACAACACAGAUUAACUUUUUAUUUUUAUAACGUCGUUUUGGAAACAAUUGCCAAAACGAACGAAAAAGCCAAAAUGUCAUAAUAUAUGCACGAAUUUUCCAAACUGUUCGGCUGGGAAGAAGCCCUGGUUCAUCGUCGCUUCAGCUGAUGACACCGAACAUGGAAAGACUGAGACGGGCAAACCCCACUCCGUUGCCAGCAACAUUGCAUAACAAUAUUGCCCCCUAGAAAUGGCCAGUGUAUCAUUAGCCGUCACAUGCACAGCCUUUGGCACGGAAAAAACUCAGCUGGGAGAGUAAAAGUAUCCCGUUCAAUGGCGUUCCGUUUCAAGUUGUUGGCACAAAGACGUAUGAAUGCCACCAGGGCAAAGACAGACAGACAAAAGCCAAAGAGAAAUAUGCUGCUGAAAGAGACAAGAAGGAACUUGAAGACCAUGCCUUUGUAAAGAGACGGAAACUGGUACAAAAUACCAAAAAGGUGGACUGCAAAGCUAUAAUAAACAUCGCCCACGUUAUCCGCUUUCCUGAUUUUAAGAUUGAGGAAAGUACAGUGCGCUCUAAAAAGGAGGCCUCCCAAACUCUGAAGGCAGCACUAAGUGAAACGCCCAGCUCCGUGAAGGCAGAGGUUGUCUACUGCGUCAGGUUCCCCUCCCUCUCUGAGCACAGCUCACAUGCAGUUGUUGGCGAGGCAGCUCAUGUUAGGGAAGCUGUAGAUGCCAGGCUGAGAGAGAAGAUUGAGCAGCUGACUCUGUCUGGUGUGAGAAAGAUGACUGAAAUGAAGUGUCAUCUGAACACCUUUGUAGUGGAAGAGCUUUUCCAUGGAGAGCAGCCCCCUCCACCUACUCGCAGGCGCUAUUACCCUACUGACAGUGACAUAAGAAAUGUCAUGUUUAAGACCAAGCGGGCCACCGGAGACUCCAACAUUGACCGUCCAUACGAAGGUCCAUCUGGAAGAGGAAAGAAGAGGUCCUCUAGGAAGCUGUUGCGGUUACGGAGGCAAUGUGCAGGAUAUCUUAAAGACAUCACAGAACUCACUUAUCAUCUCGAAGAGAACAGUACGUGACUGACCUGUCUUCACAGCUCAGAAGUGUGUUGCUGGAUAUGAAGGCCCAUGUUCCACAGGAUAAAGACCUUCCACUGACCUUUUCUCCAAGGAAGAGAAAAGCUGAGAUGGACAUGGACCUCAUUCCAACCAAGAGUGCAUCACACCCUUUCAUAGAUGGGUUAGAACAGCAUACAGAGGACAUAGUGAGUGUGGAUACCUUGUUGGCAUUGAGCCUAGGUUAGUAGGGCUGAGUGGAUAUCUUGUUGGCAUUGAGCCUAGGUUAGUAGGGCUGAGUGGAUAUCUUGUUGGCAUUGAGCCUAGGUUAGUAGGGCUGUGUGGAUACCUUGUUGGUAUUGAGCCUAGGUUAGUAGGGCUGAGUGGAUACCUUGUUGGUAUUGAGCCUAGGUUAGUAGGGCUGAGUGGAUACCUUGUUGGCAUUGAGCCUAGGUUAGUAGGGCUGAGUGGAUACCUUGUUGGUAUUGAGCCUAGGUUAGUAGGGCUGAGUGGAUACCUUGUUGGUAUUGAGCCUAGGUUAGUAGGGCUGCGUGGAUACCUUGUUGACAUUGAGCCUAGGUUAGUAGGGCUGAGUGGAUACCUUGUUGGUAUUGAGCCUAGGUUAGUAGGGCUGAGUGGAUACCUUGUUGGCAUUGAGCCUAGGUUAGUAGGGCUGAGUGGAUACCUUGUUGGUAUUGAGCCUAGGUUAGUAGGGCUGAGUGGAUAUCUUGUUGGCAUUGAGCCUAGGUUAGUAGUUCUGGGUGGAUACCUUGUUGGUAUUGAGCCUAGGUUAGUAGGGCUGAGUGGAUA